GGGGGGAACCCUGAUCCAGCCAUGCCGCGUGUGUGAAGAAGGCCUUUUGGUUGUAAAGCACUUUAAGCGAGGAGGAGGCUACCGAGAUUAAUACUCUUGGAUAGUGGACGUUACUCGCAGAAUAAGCACCGGCUAACUCUGUGCCAGCAGCCGCGGUAAUACAGAGGGUGCAAGCGUUAAUCGGAUUUACUGGGCGUAAAGCGCGCGUAGGUGGCCAAUUAAGUCAAAUGUGAAAUCCCCGAGCUUAACUUGGGAAUUGCAUUCGAUACUGGUUGGCUAGAGUAUGGGAGAGGAUGGUAGAAUUCCAGGUGUAGCGGUGAAAUGCGUAGAGAUCUGGAGGAAUACCGAUGGCGAAGGCAGCCAUCUGGCCUAAUACUGACACUGAGGUGCGAAAGCAUGGGGAGCAAACAGGAUUAGAUACCCUGGUAGUCCAUGCCGUAAACGAUGUCUACUAGCCGUUGGGGCCUUUGAGGCUUUAGUGGCGCAGCUAACGCGAUAA
rnacentral:rRNA from 1 species